CCAUUAUUAGCAACAAUUAAUAAGUAACAAUUAUUAUCUACCAUUAUUAGCAACAAUUAUUAGCUAUCAUUAUUAGUAAUAAUUGUGUUAGAAACGAUUAUUAGACAUAAUUAAUUUUACCAAUUAUUAUCUAUCAUUAUUAGAAACAAUUCAUAUUAACAACAACUAUUAGUUUACCAACCACAUUCCAAAUUCACGAAACAAAAACAAAAAAAGGAAACCCUAGAUCUAGAAUGCCUUUUCUCUCUAUACAUGAAACUACAAUUAAUCUCCAAUAAAAUCAAGCUAUAUCACCUAAUUGAUGGUGCAAGGUGGUGUCUCUACCUAUUCUACACUAAUAGCAUCGUAGAUAAGCUCUAAUUUGGUCAACACAAAGCUCAAGCUCCA
rnacentral:lncRNA from 1 species